CUUUUUUCCUUGCAGGUAAGGUUCAAGAAAUUCUAUGUUUGUGCAAUCUUUGAGGGGUGACCCAUUCCGGGCUUUUCAUAUGAGCAUCCUGGCAGCGUAUUGGCACCCAUUUGCUAAGUCUGAGAUUGUUAAGGUGAAUUUAUUGCAGUCUGAUGAAGGUACUGAAGAGAACUCCCGUGCUUGUGGCAGGCAGGCUUCAUCCAGUAUGGGAGGUUAAUAACCAUGGCCCUUGUUUUAUAAAAAUGACAGAUCUAUGCCUUUAUGGCAUGCCUAUGAAUUCUAACUAGCUGGUAUUCCCUAAAUAUGGAUAUUCAAUUGGAAUUUUCUUCAUUUUAUUUAUUUAUUUUUCUUUUUUUUGAGGGGUGGGGAGAGUGAGGCUCGCUGUUCAGUGCUUUAUAGUAGUUAUAUGUUGCUUUAUGAAUAGCAGUCUCUCUGGACUGGGACAAUCAACUCAUGAUGUCGCGGAUGAGGCUGUUCAAAUAUCAUUACUAGCAGUGGAUAAUUUUCUAUGUUCUAAAAUGAACCAUGGAUGAUUUUUGUAUUCGAAUUUAUGAAGUAAAAUACCUUUUUUCGAACCCCUUCUACUAUGAAAUAUAGUUGAUUUUUAUAUUCA